rnacentral:lncRNA from 1 species
GGAGGAUAAAGAAAAGAAAGUUGAGGAAGUAGAAAAAGAGAGUGAAGAGAAAAAAAGAAGAGAGUGGAGAUAAAAAGAAAAAGCAAGAGGAGAGAAAAGAAGAGGAUGAAAGUAAGAAAGAUGAGGGUGUGAAAAAUGAGAAAAAGAAAGAGGAAGUUGAAGGAAAGAAGAGAGAAAUUGAGAAACCACUUCCAUACCCGAAAAUCUACUAUAGAAAGGAGAAGGAGAAACAAUAUGGGCGGUUCGUGGAUAUUUUCA